CUGACACAGGGAGGUAGUGACAAGAAAUAACAAUACAGGGCUUUUCAAGUCUUGUAAUUGGAAUGAGUACAAUUUAAACCCCUUAACGAGGAUCAAUUGGAGGGCAAGUCUGGUGCCAGCAGCCGCGGUAAUUCCAGCUCCAAUAGCGUAUAUUAAAGUUGUUGCAGUUAAAAAGCUCGUAGUCGGAUUUCGGGGCGACGCAUUCGGUCUGCCGAAGGGUAAGUACUGGGUGUUGCGUCCUUCCUUCUGGAGACUGGUUCUACUCUUAACUGAGCGGGGUCAGGAAACAGAUCGUUUACUUUGAAAAAAUCAGAGUGUUUAAAGCAGGCCAAGAUUGCUCUUGCAUGGAUUAGCAUGGGAUAAUGAAAUAGGACUUUGGUGCUAUUUUGUUGGUUUCGAGCACUGAAGUAAUGAUUAAAAGGGACAGUCAGGGGCACUUGUAUUCCGUUGAGAGAGGUGAAAUUCUUAGACCAAUGGAAGACAAACUUCUGCGAAAGCAUUUGCCA
rnacentral:rRNA from 1 species